rnacentral:lncRNA from 1 species
GAAAAGUAUCAUUGCCACGUUUACGAAUUUUGUUUUGGGUAAAAUUUUCAUAAUUUACAAACCUUGAUUGUUCUGCAGUGGUGGAAUUAGAGAGUUUAAAGGAAAGGAGAAGGAAGAAGAAGAAUAAGAAGGAAGUGGGGUUGAAGGUAUCCAUGGCGGACAUUGGGGGGCGGGUGUUUUAGUUUUAAUAUUCAGUAAUUUUGUUGCGUGUUUAGUGUUUUCUCUUUUAAGGGUUUUUAACAAAGAUGGAGACUUUUGAACAUGAGGUCUGAGCCAUUUGGUAAGCGGCCCAACAGGACACACACUUUUAUUCUCUUUUCUUUUCUUUUCUUUUUUUUUCUUUUCGUUUUUUUUUUUUUUCUUUUUUGGUUGUUUUUAUCUCUCAAUUUUAUUAAAUUCUCUGUCUGAAGAUGGGAACGCCUUGGCUUUGCCCUUCUGGCUAUGGAUGGACUGUUUACUCUAAUCUCUCCUCUCUCUCUCUCUCUCUCCUUUUUAAUAUUUUUGUUCUGGGUUAAUUCUUAAAAUUAAAGAUUACUACCCUUUUAAUCUUGGACAUGGUCUUUUGUCUACCUCACAUCCCCCACCUUUCCCUCACCCAUUACUCGGUGGGUUUUGUUACCUCCCACUUUCAUCUUGUGGGAGAUUGUCAAACUUAAACCUUUUCUUCUCCUUCACUUCCCAUUUACGGAUUACUUCUUGGGUUUUCUUCUCAGAUCCUUCUUCAUAGAUCGACCCCUUUUUUUCCCCUUUUCAAAUUUCAAAUUUCCCCAUCUCUUUUGGUAAGUUUUUCUUUUCUUUUCUUCCUUCUUCUUAGGUUGAUCGGUUCUUGUUGAUGGAUGAUUCAAUAAUCGAAUGUUUGAUCUUUGAGGUUUUCGUUUCUUUUUCGCCUGAGGUUUUUUAAUGCGUUAAUAGAAUUAGAGGAUAAUAUGAAUACUGUUCAGACAUCAUAUAUGAUAUGUUCUUACGUUUUUUUAAAAAGAAAUUUUAAAAUUAUAUAUCUUUUUUUUUUUUUGGAUUUUGUUAAAGGGUAUAUCAAAGGGUGAAAGGGUUUGGCUUUGACUUCUUCAAUCUGAAUUUUGAACUAAUCUUAUCGGUGACUUCGGCGAUGAUGGUUCUUCUAACCACGCCAAAGUUUAUGGACAUAAGUUGAGCGCCUUUGAUUUCUCCGCCUUCAUCAGUGCUAUUUUCUAGGUUGUUUUUGGUGUUGAAAGUUCUCAUUUUUCAGUUUUUUAUUUUAUUUUAUUAUAUAUAUAAUAUUGAGGCUGGGGUUAAGCUGUUUGCCUAAUCUGUGAGCCCGAUUUUUAUUGAUUCUGGGAUUUAGUUCUGUAGCGUUCGAUGCCUUUUCGUUUCUCCUCUUGUGGGUGGGAUAUGUUUUAGAUGCUUUGUUGAGUUCUAAAACCACAAUUUUUGGUUUCAUUUCCUCCUUUGACAUUUGAGCCAGUUACAGGACUUGAUGAGAUUUUGUACUGUUUCAUGAUGUCAAUGUGACAAUGUCGCCAUUGUUGCCAGCCCUCUUCUACGGAUAGGAAUCUGUAAAUGUGUAAUUUAAUCUGCAAUUGAUUGCAUGUUAGAAAUGUUUCGUUUGAAGUGAACAUUCUGCACCACGUUAUAACACCUCUGUCAUUGGUCAUUCUCACAAGUCGUUUCUGGGUGCUUACAUUCUUAAUUUGAAUGGUUUCUCCACUUCAUCUCAUUUUCUUUAUUUCGGUGAUGAAUUGUUGUAUGCAUUUCUAUGCAUGAUAUGGGACUGCGAUUUCUCCAGGUAUUAGAGAUUUCUUCCAGUGUUACAUUGUUACCAAAUGCCAAAAUCAGCAUUUCUUUGGCAUCUCUAAGUUCUAGCUGUUGAUUUCUCCUUAUAAUUUAGAAGUUUCCUUGUUCUGAUUAGGUUUCAUCUCUAGCUGAUAUCACUCAAAGGAAUUAGAGGUUUCAAAAUAUGUUAAAUUUUGUAAUAAUCUUAUUACAUUUAGUUGUUUGUAUGGGAAAUGUAUCGAAGGUUGAUUUAUAGGAAGCAAGUGUUGUUUAGUAGUAUUAAGCUCUUAGCUUGCAUUGUUGUUGCUAGCCAUUAAACUGGAUUAGAGAAAACGAGUACUGUUUGGGGUUCGGUUGUGCAGAUUUUGUGAUUUAUUGUCAGUUUGGAAUCUUUUCUUUUACCUUCAUCUAUUCUUGUUCCACAUUCCUAUACUCGUCUAGAAAUUGCUUUGAAUGCUGGCAAAUAGUACUUGAUACUUUGGUUUAAGUAUCAAGAGUCUUUGUGCCAAUAAAAAUAUUGUGUUCGAUCAUGGAGUUUAUUUGUUUGACAGAUCUAGCAUGCUAACUUGUAAUGUUGUAUGAAGCUCUUUAACUUCUUGUUCUAAUUGGCUUUUUGUUUCAUUGGUUUCAGAUUCAAUCAAGUGUAUGUGGCUUCGUUUGUUGUCUGGAAAACUUUUUUGACCUGGCUCAUAUUUGAUAGAGAAAUUUACAUUUUCUCUAAUGCAAGGGCAAAGGAGUAGUAUUGGUUCUUUGUCAGAAACAAUAAACUUUGAACAUGGAUCUUCAUCAAAUAAUCCUGGUAACCAACCAGUAUACUGGAAUAAUGUGUGGAAUCCAGCAGAGAACCGAAUACCAGAUUAUUUAUUACCUACUUCUGAUGUAAAUUCUGGAUAUGUAAGCUCUGUGAGCCAUGAGCAACGAAGUUUGAGCAGAUGGAGCUUGGGUGAACCUAGCUCUUGUGAUAUGCAAACUGAGAUGCUGCCUGAUGAGCAGAAAGCUGAAAUUGGAUGGUCUUCAAUGGCUCGUGAUGCAGAUGGUCCUGUUACUGAAAACCGACUCUGUGAGCCAUCAAAUAAUCCUUCACUGGGUCAUGUGAAUCUGAGCCCACUGAUUAUACAAAAUUCUAAUUCUAAUUCUAAUGCUAUUCCUCAUAAUCUCAACUUAAAUUCAAGUUUUGUUAGUCAUGGAGGUGACAAUAGCAGAGUUAAUGAAGGUACUAACGUGUAUAAAUCUAGUGGACCAGAGGAAGGGAGGAUUUUAUGUUCUAAUGCGUCUGAUCCUCUUCUACUUCCUUCUGGAAAUAGUGGACUUCCGGUGGUUGGAAAUGAUGGUAGACCAGGCUCUUCCUUGGAUGGCCGGCGAGCACCCUGCAAAAGAAAAUCUAUUGAAGGAAAUGUUGCACAGUCCUCCCUAAGUGGAAGCAGCAACUACUCACAACAUAUUGAAAGUGGAUCAGAAGCCCAUCUUCCAGUGUUCCCUGGUCGCUACAACACAGGCAGUAGGUUAAGCAUACCUCCUCCACCAGCACGAAUGAAUCAGGCCCCUGUACGAGGUGCAGGUGAACUAACUUCCAACAGCUUCUCUGAGUCAAUUGUUGCUGAAAGCUCAGACAGUUCUCAAAGAAACUACCGUAUAAGGAUUAGUUCAUCAAAUGCACCAGAUUCUUUUGCAUCGGCAGGAACUGCUGUUAGGCAUCCUGGGCCACCAUCUUCCCAGCUGCCAGGUAGACUUCUACCUGCUGAGCAUAUACUAGACUUGAGGCCAGCACCAGCUGUAGACAAUGUAUCAGCUCAAGGUCAGCCAAUUAUGAUACAUGUGCCUGCUUUACCUCGAAGUUUGCAACCAUAUAGGUGGAAUGGAAGCUCUUCUUCCAGAAGUGGCAGUUCAUCAAGCUCUGCAGGGGAGAGGCAGGUGGUGCAACGUGAAGAGGUGAGACCAAGCAGCAUGGGAAGAAACGUAUCCGAACAUCCUAUGUUUGUCCCGGCAAAUGAGCUGAGGGGUUUGGUUCGGAGUCCAUCAAGUAGAGCUUUAGCAUCUUCGAACUUGUCCAUUCCUGGAAAUGUUGCUUCUACAUCCAGGGUUGGUUCAAGUUCAGGGGUACAUCCCUCUUCUGGACCUUGGAUUCCUCCUGAGAGUUCUCCUACACAGUUUCCCAGGAGGUUAACAGAAUAUGUUCGUAGGCAGUUAUUUGCUUCUGCUACAAAUGAGUCUGGAGGAAGGACAAGUAAUUAUUCACAGCGUUCAGGUUCUACUUCUGCCCAGGAGAUGGUCCUUUCAUCUGGAUCUGGCCGCCGGGGGCACCAUUUAUUGCAACCGAGGUCUGCAUUAUGGAUGGAAAGAAGAGGUGACAGUGGACUUGGUCUUCCAUAUUCAUUACGAACUUUGGCUACUUCUGCUGAAGGAAGUGACAAUAACAGACUUGUAUCUGAGGUAUGUUGAAUUUUUUAAUGGAUUAACUGAAUGAUGACCCUAGGUUCAUAUGUGUUAUAUAUGCAUGCCUGUCUGCAUCUGCAGAGAUGUUCAUUUUGAUUGUUGAAUCUUGUGAACAUCUUUGCUUCCUGAAUUCUUUUUAAUGCCAAUCCCUCCCGUUGUUUAAUCGAUCAAUUUUUUUAUUAUAUUGUCUCUUAAAAGUUGCAAUACUUUCAUGUCUACUGGAGAAACUUUAGAUGUUGUGGGUGUCACGACUUUUAUGCUUGGGACUGCAUAUCCGUGAAUUACAUAUGCUAGUGUGAUCAACUUUGCUCCUUCAAAAGCAUGAUGGGAAUUUUUAAAAUAAAUUCCCAUGUUCACCAACUCUGAUGCCCUGUCAACAAGAAAGAGAGGGGGGAAGUCAGGGUGAGGGAGGAACUACUGUAUGACUAUCUAAGUACCUUCCUCAUUUAAUGCAAGCCCUUAUGAAUUGAAAAUUGCUAUUCUGAAAUUGCUGGAUAAAAUUUUUCUGGGACCGCAAGCUUUUCUAUAUGACUAUCUAAGUAACUUUCUGGAGAUUGCGUCCACUAGGAUGGUGUUUGCUGGACUACAAACUGCAGUCAAAUUCUUUGGGAAAUCCUUCUCAGCAUAAGUUACCUUUUAUUAACAAUUUUUUUUUCCUCCAAUUCUAAGUAAUCUUACAUUACAAGUAUGUUGGGUUGUGCUGUAAACAAGAUUUGAUGGAUUAUGAUGCUGUCUUCAACAGUUCAGUUUUCUGUUGGUAUUCAAACUUUGGUUGAUUCUUAGAAGCUCACAUGCUAUUGUUUUGUCUGCAGCACCUUCGUAAUGUCUUGGGCCUUGUUCGCAGGGGUGAAAGCUUACGAGUUGAGGUAGGAACCUUAUUGGUGCUGUAUCAUGGUCAGUUGAUGGCAAAGUUGCAUGAUUGUAUUGAGAUACAGGCAGUCGUUUAGUUACAUGUUUCAUUUUUGUUUAGAUUGGUUACAAUGUGUAAAUGGUGGUGAACAGCUACUUUGUUUUGUUCACAUUCAGUUGCAUUUGGGAUAAAGCUAAAUGGUUCACUUAGUUGAUAUGAAAUAGACUUGAUUUGAUGAUGGUCUAGGACAGGAUCUUGUAUUUCUCCCCUCCAUGGCUUUGGACUUUCUCUAGGGCUUUUGAUUUUACAAUGUACCAAUGUUAUUGUAGCAAUACAUUUUUUAUUAUUAUUGUUAUUAUUUGUUUGGAGUGGGGGGGGUGGGGGAUUCUGGUGGCACCGACUGAUACAUAGUUUCGUGAGAUUUCCCAUAUUCAAAAGUCCUUGAAUUAAUAAUCGUGAAUAUUCUCUAAAUUUACAUGGCGGGGAGGAGGAUUUGUGUCAAAUUUGAGGAAAUUGUGUUCUUCAUGGAGACAACUUAGUUUUGUCAACGAGACUUAGUUGAAGUCAUUGACUCGACAUUUUUAACUCUUGUUUUAUAAUUAUGGUCAUCAAUACUAAUGUUGCUUUAUAAUUUCUCUUCUGUCAGGAUGUGAUGAUCCUGGACCAAUCACUAUUUUUUGGGAUGGCUGAUAUUUAUGAUAGGCACAGGGACAUGCGUCUAGACGUUGACAACAUGUCGUAUGAGGUUUGUCUAAAAUACAAACCAACCAACCGAUGUAUUUUGCACCUUUUUCGUGUUGCCUUGUUCGCGUUUUAACUAUGUGAAAGUGCAGGAAUUGUUGGCAUUGGAAGAGCGUAUUGGGAAUGUCAACACAGGACUAAACGAAGAGACAAUAGUUGCUCGACUGAAACAAAAGAAGCGGGUGAAUGCUGUUGACUCACAGGUGGAGGAAGAACCAUGCUGUGUUUGUCAGGUUGUAACAGAUGUAUCUUUUGAGCUGUUAUCAUUCUUGAAACUGCACAACUUUGUAAUGUCUGUCUCCUUCCCUCAUUAGCAUCCGACUAACAACCCAGCUGAUGAUUUCCAGGAGGAAUACGUGGACGGAGAAGACAUUGGAACGCUGGAAUGCGGGCAUGACUUUCACACAGCAUGUAUUAAGCAGUGGCUGAUGCAAAAGAAUCUGUGUCCCAUAUGCAAAACAACUGGUUUAGCAAGCCGAGAAUGAAUGAACCUUGGUGUGGUGGUUGCUGCUUAAGAGACAAGGAGUUAAAAAAAAGCAAAGCAACUAUGGAAUGGAAUCAAGGAAGGAAAUGCUAGGAUGUUGCUUGCCAGUUAUCUACCUCUGAAGAACCACAUUCAAGUUUCUCUAUAUACAAGUAGUAGUAAAAUUUUUAUAUAAUGCAAGCAAUCAUUUUUUUAAAAAAAAUUUGUUUUGGAAGGGAAGGAAAAGGAAAAAAAAGAAAAAAGAAGAAAAAUUCAAGGGUUGUAAUUGGCAAGGAAUUGUUAGCUUUAAGGUUAUGAUGGUGAUGAUGAUGAUGAUGGUCGGUCAAACUAAUUAAUGUUUACUCCCAUUGACAUUAGAGAUUGUUGGUCUUAAUAUAUCAUCGGAUUUUUCCAUAUAUUUAUUUUAUACCUCGCAAAACUUAGUGGUAGUAAGUAGUGAGUAUUAUUAUUGUUGAUUUCCAAAUUGGAAAAAUGGUUUAUUAUUCCUUCUUCUUUUCGGUAAAUAUAAUGUGUUUGAUUUAAUUUUGUAUUCAGACGCUAUGUCCAAAGUCUCCAAAAGGCAACAGAAAAAGAGUAGAAUAUUUGGUGUUGGUUAUAUUAUGGUUUUGUGUAAUAAAUUGGAAAUAGCCAAACGGUGACGUUUUUGGUUAGGGAUAAGACGGUGAAUGAUACAUCAUUAUUAUAUCUUUGACUUUAUGAAUCUGCCAUCCUCUCAUUUACUUCUCUUUCCUCAUCCAAUCACUUUUAUUGCUCUUUUAUUCUCUUCUCUCUCUCUUUUUUCUUUUUAAUUCAAAUAUACUAUUACCUUCCCUUUAAUUUUAUUUUUUAUUUCUUCUUUUUUCUUACAAAGAAAAUAUGUUUCUCCUUUCACUUUAAAGUUAUUUGAUGAUUUCAAAUGGAGAGUCCAUUAUUCACAUGUAUUCAAUAACAUCCAAUAUAGUCAUUUUCCCAUCAAAUAUGUAUUUGUAUACUGAUCAUAUAUAUAUAUAUAUAGGAUAAUUGUUAUGGAUGCCAAAAAUAUUAAAAUUAUUUACAAUUUAUAGCAAAAGAAAAAAACAUGAAUAUAAGAGUUUGAUUAAUUUUGUUACAUUUGUAAAUUGUUUUAAUAUUUUGCUAUUUUUAGAAAUAUAUAUAUAUAUAUAACAAAACGAUAAUAAGAUAACUAUCCGGAAAAUAAACAAAAUCUUCUCAUACAACAAUGCCCAAUUUAUAGUUGAGGUAAUGUUUUCAGUUUUUAUUUUUAAAUAGUCUACAAGAUAACAAUAAAAAAAUCUCGUAAGUACUUUAAAAUUCAACAAAAUAAGUGAAAAUAAAAUGUUGUUUUUUUUGGUUAAAUGGUAAAUUUAUUCAUUUCACUGAACUAAAAUUUAAUUUAUAAUUUUUAGUUUAACAUGAAAAUAUUGUCAUUUGAAUUUUGCAGAAGUAACACUUGAAGUCAUAAAUAUAAUACUUAAAAUAAUAAGUCCAAUAAAUAAGUUAAAUUUGUUAAUAAUAUUUAUGACAAUCAUGUGAGAAAAAUACAAUUAAAUGUUUUUUAAAAUUCUACUUAAAAAAAAUGAAAAAUUCUUACAAUAAAAACGAACACAUGUAAAAUUUUCAAAAACAGCUACCCAUCCAAAAGUUUAAAACUCAAAUAAGGUGAUUAACUUCAAAUUUAAUUUAAUCCCUAUACGUUGAAGUUUACAGGUACGUGACUUAGCGUCUUAGGUUGGGUGAGGUAACACAUCAUUUGGUUCAUACAACACUUUUAUACAGUAAUCAAUAUUGAGAAUAUCUUCUUGUUUGUCUGAAGAAUGGGGUGAGAGAGUUUUGAGUUGUGUAGAUUCUAAUAUUAUUUUGUUUAAAAGAAAAUUAGGUUUAGUUUUAACUUUCUAAUUUGAUGUCUAUAAUGUUUAUUCAAUAACAUUUGAAAAUUAGGAGGUGUAGGUACUGAAAUGAAACACUUGGUUACGUGAAUGAAAAUGGUGAUGAAUGAAAGAAAAUGUGAAUUUGCAUAAAAAAAGGAAGCAGUGAGAUUAAUUAGAUUAUUAUUAAAAAGAAGACAAAAAGGGAAAUUAGGUAAAAGACAAAUCCUCUAUUUUUGGAAAAGAUUGUAAAUAAAAGAAAGAAUAGGGGAAGUUUUGAAAAAGAAGUAACUGAUGGGUUUCUGUAAAGUAUAAAAAGAAAGAGAAAAAAGGAAACGACAAAAAGAUUAAGGCGGGAGGGGUGGGAUUAAGAAGGAAGACGAUAAGUUGAACCUCGGGACGCAGACCAGAAGUCAGCAACUUCACAAAAACACCAUUAAUGACAAUCCUUAAUCCUUGUUUUUGCUUUCUACCCAACAAAACUAAUCAUCCAACGCUAAAAGAUAAGACGGAAUCCAAGAAAAAGUACACACAAACUCAGACCAAUACCAUACAAAUAUAUAAUUCCUUCCACCCCAAACCGUUUCUGCACACAAAGCCAACAUACCCAACGUAAUCCUUCAUUUUUCAUCCUUACUUUCAACCCCUUUUGAUCCUCAAUCAUGGCGGAUCUCUACGGAACUUCCCCUUCUUCCGAUGUUGUGGGUUUGCCCCAUGACCCUGAAGAUUUCUCUUCUUUCAUCAAUCACCACCUUCAAACCACUACUUCUUCUGCUUCUUCCCCUUCUUGCGUUUCCUUCAAGAACAAGUUCAUGCCCUUGUUGCAUUCUCAACCUCCUUGGCACUCUUCGCCGAUGUUUUCUCGCCGGCCCGAUUCCACCUCUGUUCCCGGUAUGUCCUGCAUGCUCGAUUUUCCCGAGGAUCGGCUUCAGUCCAGUCGUGUUUUGAACCACGCUUUGUCGGAUUGUAAUGUUAGGGAUGUGAGAUUUGCUGAUGCUUCGUAUUUGGCUGUGAACUCAACUUGCGGCGGCGUGAAAUUGUCGGAUCCUGGUGACUUUCUCAAAGAAAGUUCCGACAACGCCUUUUCUUCCUCCGGCGCUGUUGAUUCCGAUACGAAUGCACCGUUGAAGAGAAGGGGUCUUUCGUCUGAAAAUGAUCUUGGGGAUUUCAGUUGCGAUAGCGAGGUAACUUCCUGUUUCCUCAAAUUUCACCGUUUGAAACUUUUGCUUAUCUUGAGUUAAUUCGAUUCUCUCAGGGUGGGGAUUUGCCUGAAGUUCCAUCUAGUACUAAUCUGCCUCGAAAUUCAUCGAAGAGAAGUAGAAGCGCUGAGGUCCAUAAUAUGUCGGAGAAGGUCAGUUUCAUAUUGGGUCCCCGAUUUCUAAGCAUUCUUGUCUUUAAGUUUAGACUAAGAGCGAUUGAUUGCUGAUAUUUUUGCUAAUGGUUUCGGUGAGUGGGCCAGAGACGAAGAAGGAGGAUCAAUGAGAAAAUGAAAGCUCUUCAGAACUUAAUUCCCAAUUCAAACAAGGUAUAUUUGUCAAAUUCAAGACUAUGGCGGUUUUGAUUACUUUUUAAGUAUUUAGAGUUACAAUCAGAUUGUGGUUUGACAGACGGACAAAGCUUCAAUGUUGGAUGAAGCAAUUGAGUAUUUGAAGCAGCUUCAACUUCAAGUCCAGGUGGGUGUCCUUUUUUUUUUGUUUUGUUUUGUUUUGUAUGGUUAUGUGCCUGAGAAUUUGAUCACGUUUUUUCACUUUUGUUUGCUAUGGAAUUAUCUCUCUUUAUACGUGUACUCGUUCAUUUUUAUUGGUUUCUAAUUACAAAUAGUCCAUGAAUUUGGGCCACAGAAUCUUAUGUGCUGAUAUAUCAAAAAGUAAUGUUCCUUUUGUCCUCAUGAUAUGAGUCAAACGUGCCUGCACUUCGAUUUCUGGUUGCAUUUCAAUCAGAGAACUUUGAAUAUUCAAACAGUUUCAUCCUAAUUUUAUUUCUGGCCAAACCUUACUAGAGAAAAGCCAAUUGAUAGUGAAAUUUUUUGAGUCUUGAGUGUUGAUUAUUUUCCAAACCCAUGGUUCUGUAGGAGUUCUGUUACUCAUUCUGAGAAUUAUUGGGACAUUUUCAGCUGAAAAAGGCUGAAGAUCUCCUCCUCCUACCGCCGAUUAACACUGUGUGUUUGAUUACUUUUCACUCUAUCACUAUAAGAUUAUGCUUCGUUUGAGCUUUUCCUAACAUAACCAAAAUUUUACUUCUUAAGAGAAGAUGGUUCACGAAAUAGAGGUUUUUUCUUAGCUAACUUACGUUUGAGACAAUGAUGUCAAAAUAAUAGAUUUCUAGGACCUCAUAUUCUUUCUUAUCACGAAUUUGAUGGGUGCUUAUGAGGAGCAGGAAUAAUACCUCUCUUGAUCAUUGUUUUGUCGAAAAUUUUCCCUGUUUUAGUUGCUCUUUUUGGGCUAUACUAAAUCUGAUAUUGAACUAUAAACGAAAACGAAAUUACAAGAUAAUUCAAGAGUCCAAGGUACUUGGACCCUCCGAAUCUUGGCAGUACUCUCAGGCCGUAGUAGACUUCACCAAAUAUUGCCUAUCUCCCAUCUUCUCCACUCGCUGUAUUUACUUAAAACAUUCAUAACAAUCCCUUAAUACUCUAAUUAUUUCCUUAAAACGUUCAUAACAAUCCCUUAAUACUCUAAUUAUUUACUUAAAACAUUCAUUUCAAAUAAUGAGGUUUGGAGCAACUAACAGCUUGUUCCAUUUUUUUCUCUCUAGUUGACAGAAAUGGUCAUAGUUUGAUGAACAUAUUUAAACUUGUUAUCAAUGACGUUUGGCUUUGCAGAUGUUAUCAAUGAGAAAUGGCUUGAGUUUGCAACCAAUGUGCUUGCCAGGAAUGCUGCAGCCAAUUCAACUACCUCAGAUGGGGUUGGACUACGAUGUAGGAAAUGCAUUUCUAACAUCCCGAAGAGGAAUAGAUACAUCGUCUACUAGGAACGAAGGAUGUCCCAUGCAAUCUACAUUCAAUCUUACCAACAAAUGUAACCUUUCAGAUCAGUCAAUUGCCAUCCCUUCUGUACCAAACACCACAACCUCAGAAACUGCAUUCGGUUUUGAACCCACAAUUCAGGGUUAUGAUGGGGAGUUUAACCUGUCCUCCGAUUUCAAGGUAACAAACAAUAUUAACCAGCUUCUUUCUAGGUUAGUGAAAUUGGGACCAAAUAUUUUCUUGGAAAUAUGCAGGAUGGGGAACCAGCCGCACAGUUAGAUUGCGCUCAGACGGGGAACGAGUCAACAGACGCUUCUUAGCUGUAGUCCUUUGCAGGAUGCUGGUCACUAGAGUAUGGCCUUUUUAAUGAAGCAAUUUCUUUACUUUCCUUGUGGAUUUUCAACAACAAACAUUAUAGAAACUACAAAAAGUUCUAUUUUCACACUUACCAGAAAAUCUAUUGUAGAAUAGGUUAACAACAUAAUCUUGAUAUUUAUGCCUUUGACUCUAUAUUUUUAAGAAAAAAAACUUCAAGUAUUAGUUAGGCAAACAUAGAAAUGCAGAAAUCUACCUGAUCUGCUUUGUUUGAAAAGAAAGAGGAUAGAAGCUGCCAAAUGUUUUUGGGGAGAAGCAAGAAAAAGAAAAAGAAAAAGAAUACGGUGGUCCUUCCUUACCUUUACCAAUUAGAUGCUCUCUAUCUGGACUCAUUGAUGUGAAGUAGAUCAAUUAUUUUGCCUUGUAAUGCUGUCAAGAAAUGAAAACAAAAAAUAUGUUGUCUCUUUGCAGGAUAUUUUUGAGAUAAAUACCCAUUCAUAAUAUACGAUAAUAUCAAUUUAACUUUGUUCAUAUGCUGUUUGAUUUUGGUUUAGAUUGAAAACUGACCCAAAAUAGGGACAAAUUGGGCCAAGUUGAUAUGAAGCCAUUUGGCAGAGGGAAUAUGUCUCAUAUGAUAUAAUAACAAAUCAUAUGAAAUGAUUAAAGAUGAAUUCGAAAGAAAAAGAAGGGAAAAGAAAAGUUUGGGGGUGCCCUUAAAAAAAGGGGAGGGUCUGAAACUUGUUCAGUGGUCAAACUCUAUUUUAUGGGGAGAGGUAAUUAAUUAUGUAACAUUGACUGACACUUCUAAUUAUUAAUUAUUACUUAACUAAUGAGCUACCCAUCCAUUAUUUUUAGUUAAAGCAGGCGCUGCAGUCAGGCAGACAAGCAGAGUUCUUUAAUCAACAAUAAUAUUGUUGGAAUAAUUUCUUCUCAAGUCUUUUUUUAAAGUUAAAGUUUGUGUUUAAUAGGCCAUCAACUUAAUUUCUCAAGAAUGACAUUAUGUCUAUUGUUCAACAGGGUUCUUAGUUUUUAUAUUUGUCUAUAAUGAAUAUGUUGGGGUUCACAAUUGAAAGUUUAAGGAAUCUUUGAUGUUCUGAGGACUAGUUGGACAUUUUGCAAAGUUCAGGAACAUCAAAUAAAAAAAUUUCAAUUUAGGAUCUACACACAAAGAUGAGGGUUAAGGGCUAAACUGUCACUAAACAUUUUUUAAUGAUUUCUUUUUUUGGGUGAAUUUGAUGGCAGCUAAAUUAUUAAUCAGCAGGUUUCUCCUAAAAUUCAAGAUUAUGUUCGUGUGUGUAUUUGUAUCGAUCACAUAUCAUACAAAGAAACAACAAUAAGUCUAAAGAAAAAGGAAAGACAACAGCUAUAAAGGUCGUAUAUUUAUGUAUGAGUCAAAUAAACACUAAUUCUGGGUUUAGAAAGUUGUUCUUUUACUAUUACUGUUGUUAUUAUUUUACAUGAUUUUUAAGAAAAAUUAUCAAUCUUGUUAAACUUUUUUUUGGACAAGGCAACUUUAAGUUAUGAAUGAUAACAUGGUUUGUCAACAAAUUUUGAAUUAUUUACUUAGAAUGUAGAAAUCAAUUCUUGGAUGUAAUAAUUUCGUUCUGUGAAAAUGAAUUCUUGGAUAGAUAAAUAUAUACGUACACACACAAAUAAAUGGAAGAAACUUUUCUUUUUGGAAAGGAAGUAUAAAAUAAUUAUAAACAAGGAAAGUGGUAGGAACACCUUGGGAUGAUUCUUCCCCCCAACUUUUAUUUUUUUUAUUGGGUUUUUGUUUGAAUAAUGUCUACUCUUUUUUUAGAAAAUAAGAAAAACACAGAUGAUAAUUCAUGUUUUUAAAUAGAAAAGGGGAAAAAUUUUAUUAUUCAAUGUGAUCAAAUAUGUAUCAUAUCUAACAACCAAUUCUUUCUAUAUUGUAUAAUUAAAAGAAAAAAAAUCGAUUAUUCUUUAUGAUCACAAAAUAAAAAAAGAAAAAAAAAAGACAAUUUAUGAAUAAUUAAAAAAUUGAACGCGUAAAAAGCAAUAAAGGUAUUACCAAUUUUCCCCAAAAAUCUAAACUCAAAAUUUUAGAAUAUUUCUGUAAAGCCAAAUAAAAAGAGGAAUAUGAAUAAAUAACUUAACAUAGAUAUCUAUUUUUCUAAUGAAAAAUGCUUUUGGGUACAUGCCGACUUGUAUUCAUCUUGAGUUAUCCAUUCGAAACUCUAUCACAAAUUAGAGCAAAAUUUAUCUAAUUCUCUAGAGUUCAUUUAAUUUUUUUUUUUUUGAUAUAUUUUGUAAAUUAUUGUUAUUAUUAUGAGAAAGAAAAAAAAGCAAGUUGGUUGUUAGAUUUUGAGUCCAACACCUAAAAGAGAAAGAAAAGAAAAUUAGAAAUGAAUAAUGGUACUUUGGAAGUAAUUAUGUAGAGUCUAUACUACAAUUAAUUAAACUCUAGAUUUUUGGAUUUAUCCUUUUCUAUUUUCUAUUUUUUUUUAAUACAAAGUCCGUGAUGACUAUAUUUAUAUAUAUGAACAAAUUACUUUCAAUUAAAAGCUUUACCAAUUACACUAUCAUUAUUGUAUUGUAGCAAUAAGAAUCAUAUACUAUAAAAAGAGUAUUUGUCACUCUAUGUUGUCUUAAGAAUUGGGUUAGUUGAUUUGCAUAUUUUAUAUUAUAAGGCUAAUGAUCUAACAAAGACAAUUCAAGCAGUUUACUUACUGAAAACAGUGUAUAUAAAAUAAUUGUGGAGAAAGAAUCUGCAACGAAAAUGGAUUUUAGUGAAUAAAAAUGAAAGAAGGUCGUCUCAAAUUCAGAAAUCAUUUGUAGCUUACCGUGGAAUUUCAGAUAAAGGCUCACCGGGGAAGAGGGUUCAAUAAAUGGAUGGGCUUUUGUAGGGUUGAUUUUUCUUUCUUCUCUUCUCUUCUUCACCAUUGUUGAAGAUGGAAGUCCCAUCAUGCCAGCUCUUUCUUUCUCUCUCGCUGUGAACCCCACUGAAUGAGUGGAAUUUGCAGUUUAGUUUCUUGUCUUCAUUUUCGAGAUUUAUUGUAUCCUUUGCUUUUGCCACUCAGCUAAUUGUCCUCCUUCUUCUGUGGUUGUCUCCGCCACAAAAACAGUCUUGAAAGGUUUGUAGAACAAGGGGAAGAGGAAAAAUGUCUAAUUAUGCCUUCUUGAAUGACCAGCUCUCGAAGCGGACCUCCAUUUUCGGUUUGCGUUUGUGGGUUGUUUUGGGUAUUUGUGUUGGUGCUGCCAUUGUUAUUGUUCUCUUCCUCAUUUCCUUAUGGUUCACUUCCAGGCGUAACAGUUCCAAUAAAUCUAAACCCUCUUUGAACCCCAUUAUCCCAAAUGUGUCUAAGGAAAUCCAGGAAAUACGAAUUGACCAUUCUCGGAACACUACUCAUUCUGACCCCAAAGUUCAGUUGGCUUCUAACCCUGAGCCUUUGCCGGAGGCAGAGCCUUUAGCGACGCUGCUUCAGACGGAAGAAGGAAGCCCACCUAGUGGACGCCAUAGAAUUCACAUUGAAAUUGGGAAGGACCAUCGGAUUUCUUACCCAGAGAGAGGUGGCGGUUCGUCCCACGGAAGUGGAGAGGCUCGGUCUGGUGAUCAGGCGCCAAUGACUGUGCCGGAGGUUUCGCAUUUGGGUUGGGGCCAUUGGUAUACUCUCAGAGAGCUUGAGUAUUCUACUAAUAGUUUUGCGGAUGAAAAUGUAAUUGGUGAAGGCGGAUAUGGUAUUGUGUACCGUGGGGUUCUUGAGGACAACACCGUGGUUGCCAUCAAGAAUUUGCUCAAUAACAGGUUCUUCUUCUCAUUUUAUUUCUUUUUUCACAUGGAUCUUUGUAAUUUAUCGCAGUUAUGUCAAUGCAGUACGAGCAUUUAUCUUAUGUUACAAGAAUCCACAACUGCAAUUGAUACAUUAUGUUGUUCCGCUGGAAGAAAUUUUAUGCACUAUUUCUUGUGUUCAGAGGACAAGCUGAGAAGGAGUUUAAGGUUGAAGUGGAAGCAAUUGGACGUGUUCGCCACAAGAAUCUGGUGCGUUUGCUUGGCUAUUGUGCUGAAGGAGCUCACAGGUAUUCUGAUUUUCCUCCAAAGUAAUCCUGUAGAAGCUUAAGAAACUGUAAACACUCUCUUCUCUAGUUAAUUUGAGAACGUGUGUGCAUUCUGCUUGUCUUGUUGUAGGAUACUUGUCUACGAGUACAUUGAUAAUGGAAACUUGGAACAGUGGCUUCAUGGAGAAGUUGGACCUUGUAGCCCUCUAACAUGGGACAUUCGAAUGAAUAUAAUUGUUGGAACAGCGAAAGGGUAUGUUCUAAAUUGAGUUUGCGUUCACUAUUUUGGUUGUAGAUAAGUAAUAUUCUUCAACAUCUUGCCAUAGUUUUGAGUUUGACUUCAUAAAAUCACAGGUUAACAUACCUCCACGAGGGACUCGAGCCUAAGGUUGUUCACCGUGAUAUCAAGUCAAGUAACAUUUUGCUUGACAAGCAGUGGAAUCCAAAGGUCUCUGACUUCGGCCUAGCAAAGCUUUUAGGCUCAGAAAGGAGUUAUGUAACAACUCGUGUGAUGGGAACUUUCGGGUCAGUCUAAGUUGUAGAGUGAAAUGUAUUACUUGAUUUCUAAUUUUGAAUUCAUGAACUUGACGGAGUAACUUACACAAUGCCGACUGGGGUUGUUUUGUAGAUACGUAGCUCCAGAAUAUGCAAGUACUGGCAUGUUAAAUGAAAAAAGUGAUGUAUAUAGUUUUGGUAUCCUCAUUAUGGAGAUAAUUUCAGGGAGAAAUCCAGUAGAUUAUAGCCGCCCUUCAGGAGAGGUGUGUUUCUCAUCCAGAUUAUUUGUCAUUGCAUAACUUGGCCUAUACAGGCCUCUGCUUUCACCAUUAACUUUUCAUGGUUGAUUGGUGGAUCAAACUUUCAGGUCAACCUAGUUGAGUGGCUUAAAACAAUGGUUAGUAAUCGAAAUGCUGAGGGCGUUCUGGAUCCUAAGUUGCCUGAAAAGCCUUCAACAAGGGCACUGAAGCGUGCUCUGUUAGUAGCUUUACGGUGUGUGGAUCCUAAUGUUCAGAAGAGGCCAAAAAUGGGGCAUGUAAUUCAUAUGCUUGAAGCAGACGAGUUUCCUUUCCGAGAUGUGAGUUAGCAGCAUUUCAACUAUUACUUAGACCAACUUGAUGUGUGGGAAUAUUUAUCUUCAUUCCAUAAAAUUAGUUGCCUCUAUAGUCUUGUCUUAAAAGUAUUUUACAAAGAAUAAGUUAAUGAGUUACUUAAGUUAGAAAUCUGGUUUAUUUGCUUUAAACUAUGUAUCCGGUUUUUCCUCCUUCCAUAUCUCAUGAUCCAUCAUUGUCUCUCCUCAAUAUCUCAGGAUCGUAGAGUGGGACGAGAACCAGGACGAUCACUACUGAAGGAAAAGCUCAUGGAAAGGCUUGUGAGUGAAUCCGGAGAAAGCAGCGGAUAUGAAAGUGGAGCAACACAAGCAAGCCGACAUCUAUGGAGAAAGCAAGAACUUGAAGAACAACAGCCUCGCGAACCUCACACUUUAAGGUGAUCUUGUAUACCCAACCCACAUUAUUAUCAAUCAGGCUACACUCUAAAAUGUAAGGAUUAUUUCUGCAGCCUCUCCCCCUUGCUGUACUGUAUCAAACAAUCUGUAUAAUGUUUUGUAUCAAUCUUUCUCAGUUUUGGGAUUCAUUCUAAUGGUUUAUAAUCACCAAAAUUAGAUACCUGUAACUGUAAGUACAACAUUUGGAAGGAAAGUUUUUAGUUAAAUCUGAAAUGCCCUGAAUUAAGGAUGGUAAAGAGUGAAGAUGAGUACUUUUUAGGUUGAAGUUUGGUGGGUGUGAUUAGAAUCAAAUCGGGUCCUACUGAAGUUUUGGUGGGUGUGAUUAGAAUUAAUUGGGGUCCUAGUCUUUCACGAGCAUUACUGUUGGGGUGGGGACUUGGGUUUGUGAAGUAGAAGGAAGGAGAACCUUUAUUUUUCAGGUUUACAGUAAAGGAACUGUUGUGUGUUUGGAUUUUAGAAUCUUGGACCACUCUCUUUAAAGUUCUUCGGGUAUUGUUACUUGUCAAAAAGUCAUUAGAUUUCUUUUUUGCUUAUUACUUUUGGCAUUUCUGUUUUCUACUUCUAAAACUCUGAGUUCUGGUCACUGUUUUACUCUCUCUCUCUCUCUCUCUCUCUCUCGACACACACAUGGCAUUUCCUAUCUUGAAUCUUGUUUUUCAUUGGUUAUGAAUUUUGCAUGUGCUGAGCAUUUAUGCUAGUAGGGCAGAAGGCUUAUGCCACUUUCCCCUUCAAUUGACUCGAUGAUUGUUCUUUCACUUUCUUAAAGGUUGUUAAUUUAAUUUUAAACAUUUAAGAAUGGAAAAGAUGAUAAUUUUACUAUAUAUAGUUUCCCUCUCUACUUUUGAUAGUUAAACUCUUGUUAGAAGUAGGAAUCACAAAUGCACCUUUGAUCUCUUUCUAAGACUUUGUUAGAAAUAAGAAUUGCUUAGCAUCAUUAAACUCACUUUUCUUAUAUUCAAAAUCAACUAUUUCAAAAAUUACUCUUAAAAACAUUAAUAUUGUCAUAAUUUAGACUUUUGCUUACAAAUUGUAUUCGAAAAGAGAUUCGUACAAUCUUAGAUAUGUUUGGUAGGCAAAAUUCAAAUAUGCAUUGGUAGGUACUCAAGAUUUUGGAAACGAUGUUUAAAUUCAAAUUUACAUUUUUCUUUUGAGUUUAUUGCAGAGUUAGGGCCUAUAUCUUAAUUUGUUGGGAGGUGUGUGAAUGAGCAAUGAACAAGGAUGCUCUUUUGGGUGAAAAAUGAGAACUUAAUCCUUAUACUUCAUCACAUUGUCCAUACAAAAGAUUUUGAUGAUUCAAGAAAAUUGUGAAUUAUAUUGAAAAAUUAAUAGACUUGAGAUGAUGCAGAAACGAUCUUUUAGAAAAUACAUCAAGUAAGAAUAGCAGUGAUAAAUAAAACAUAGUGAAUAAUCAUCAAUAAAUAAAGUAAGAAUAGAGUUAUGAGUAGAAGUAGAUAUCAAGAUAUCAUGAUGAAUUAAGCCAAAAAGGUGUAUGACAUAACAUGAAUAUGAAAAAAAUUUAGGGAAGAUAAAAGCAAGUUGUUUCACAAGCUUACAAAUGAUACAUCAUGGUAGCAGUUUUGUUUUUUCUUUUUAGUAUCUUUUUUCCCUUGAGAAAUACCUCAUGGUAGAGUUUUCAUCAAGAAGUCAAUAAAAAUAUUUCUCAUGAGCCUCUAAUGAAUUAUAAGGCAUAUAUAUCGCUAUGAAAUUUAUAUGAUCUAGGCAAGAAUUUGAGUUUUUUUUAAAGAGUAUUUGUGCAUUAUUGAAAUUUAAUUGUGUAAAACGUGACAAUAAUUUUUUUUUUUUUAGAAUAUAGGCUUUAUUAUUACAACUUUUCUUUAAUUAAAACGAGUUAUUAAAGUUUUUAUAUAUUAUUAAUUUUAAGGUUAAAACAUGUGAGUGAAUUAGUAAAUCUCUGAAUAAAAGACAAAUAUAUCAGGUAUGCUUUAAAUGUUAAAAUUGAUUCAACUUGUCGAAUUUAGAUGUAAAAAUGGAUGCUUUCCAAACUAUAUUUAGAGUUGCAAAUUACUCAAGAUGGCCUCAAUGUUUUUAUUUAACUAGGUUCAUUAUUUUCUUCACUGUAUACGAGCAUACUCGUAAUUUCAUAUUUAAGAAAAAACCAAUUUACUCGGAAUGUUAAAGGUAAAACUACAAAAUUCAAACCAUAAUAAGCAAUCAAUUCAAAUAUACCUUUUUCUUUAAGGACGAUUCCAAUAAGAGAAAAAAAAACAAAGAGAGAAAUUGGUUUCAUAUUUUAAUACAAACACAAAUGAGCAUCCUGAGUUGCAAGUAAUUGAAAGUUUAAAUUGCGUAAAUAAACAUAAUACAAUUCAAUCAAAAUUACCCGAGAAGUUAUUUUGAGAUUCUAAAGGGGGUUCAAUGUGAAACACAUCUAAAAACUCUGCAUCUCAGUCCAAAACUAAAUUAUAUCCUUUAAAAUGAUAAUUAAUGUUCGGGAAUUACUCCCUUCAAAACUAAAUUAUUGAAGGAAAAAAAAUCGCCAGAACCAAGUCUAAAACUCUGGAGACAUUUUCAUCAACAUCUGAAAAAUGAAUUAACCUUUGCGGUGAGGUUAACCACCUCAGCUUAAGCGCCACCAGAUCCGUAUUUCUUCCCGAAGACGAUCACCUGCAACUUAUCGUAACCGGCAAGCACACCAGCACCAGCAACGGCACGGAGAAUGUUAGCACCAGCACCCUUGAAGAGAGACUUGGCACCUUCGUUCUUCAAGAUCUGAGAGAAGGCAUCCAUUGAGCUCUUGUACUUCACUGCUUCACCAGAUGUCAUCAUCAUUCUUCUACGAACAGUGUCAAUUGGGUAGGAUGCAAGACCGGCACCGUUGGUGAUGAGCCAACCAAGAGCAAAGCUAGCGAAGAAACUAUCCUGCUCUCACAUAAAAGGUAGAAUAUAAUCAGAACAUAGCAAUUCAAACAUUGGCAUUCAUUAAUGAACUCAAUUUAUAUAAUCCCCACAGCAAACAACUAAAACCACUAGCAAACUGACCUGCAUCUUCCCGGUCAACAAAACAGGCUUUAGAGAAUCGUACAUUCCGAAGUAUAAACCACGGUACACAAUGAUACCAACGCAAGAAAUGUUAAACCCACGAUAUAAACCAGCAACACCAUCAGACUGCAAUGUCUUCCUGUAGACAUCAACCAGUCCAUUGAAUUGCCUUUCUCCACCCUUCUUGGCAGCUUUGGCAUCAUUUGCCAAUCGGGUACGCGCAUAGUCAAGAGAGUAAACAAAAAGAAGGGAUGAAGCACCGGCUGCACCUCCGGAUGCAAGGUUACCAGCAAACCAUUUCCAGUAACCAUCCCUGUCUUUCUUGAAGUUGAAAAGUCUCUUGAAGUAAUCCUUAAAAGCAAAGUUCAAUGCCUGGAGCAUGUAACCAUAAAACAAUUAGCUCAAGAAAGUUUAAAAAAAUGGAGAGAUAAAAUUAUACAACAGAAGAAAACCACACACUUGAGUGGGGAAAUAACGGAUGACAUUGGCAGUGUUUCCUCUCCACAAUGAACCGAAACCCUCCUCUUGCAUUGUGCGCUUAAAACAAUCACCAAUACCCUUGUAUGGCUCAGACAAACGUCCAGAUUUAAUCAUCUCAUCUUGAUUUUGAAUUAAGAGUUUGACACGCUCAAUCGGGGCAGCAGCUGUUUUGGACACAGCAGCAGACACACCACCCAUAAGAAAGUCAAGCAUAAAGUUUCCUUUCUCAGCAGGGGCAGCAACAAAAAUGGGGGAAGCGGUUGAGGAAACCCUAGAAAGGUCAGUUGUAGCUACACAGGAUUGCACAGCAGGAUAUUGAAAAGCAGCAUUGGAAUAAUUGGUAAUCGGUGCACGUCUCUGAUAGAGUGCAGGAUUUCUAAAGCCAUCAUCACAAGCCCGGAAACCCGAAGCAACCCUCGACUGAAGGGAGAGCUGACCAGCAACCUUCUGAUAGAUAGUGGGAUGUUGAACCUGAUCAGCCAUGGCUACUUCUUCCCUGCAAUAAUUCCCAAUGAUUUCAUCAGAUGAGAAAUACUCGUUUCAAAUUUAGAACAAGAGAUGACAUUGAGACACCAAUACGACAGUAGUGGGCCAGAAGUACAGUUUAGGUAAGGCAGAUAGCUAUUCAAGGAAAAUGAGAUCAAUAAAGAAUCGAAGAACAAAGUUAAUAUUUUAUAAGCAUCGUUCAAUGUAGCAAAUCAAGUACUAUAAGUCUUCGUUGAAAACAGAGCUGUAAUAACAAAUGCCAAGGGUUGAAAAGUAGCAACAUGGUCAAGAGUAAAGAUCAUUUACUAAAACAUAUAAACCUUAAUUCUGUUUUAUGAAAUAUCUAAUCGCAAUAACAAUAACAUAAGAAAAAAAAACGUACACAAACACACCAAUUUAAGGGUCGGCUCCAAACACUUAAAAGUAAAGAGUAAAUGCAUCCGUAAGAGCGCAGAUUCAUAACAAAAAAUUCGCUGAUCCACAGUAAAACAAUAGGAGACAACCAGUACGAUAAGAGGUCUCAUCAGUCAUCGCUAAGAGGCCACACAGUCAGUACAUGAUGAUAAUAUGCGAGUUUUAUAAAAAUACAACAAAUGAGAUUAGAUCGGAAAAAAUGGGAACACAACAAACCCAAACAGAAACUAGAAAAUUCACAUCAAAGAUUCCGUUCAGAAACUUCAACAGCAGAACUUCGGAAAUAGUUAAGGUGAACAGUAAACACUAUAAGAGAUAUAUUUAGGAAGAACAGAUCUCAAUCUAGAAGUAAAUAUGAGAAAACCAACAGACAAAUCCGACAAUCUGAAGUCUGUGCGAUCAGAAAUUUAAGAAAUAGCCAAGGAUCAGACCCCAGAAGUUUAAAAAAUAAAAAAUAAAAAAGGAAGCAGAAUAAAGACGAAUAAGGAUCGUUUUUACCAAAGACGAACCGAGAAGAAAGUGAAAGUAUGAAGAACUGCCGGAUCUGAAGGUGAAAUUGAAAGUGAUCGGUAGAAGAAUUGUGGAUCUAAAAGAGAGAAAGAGGAGUAUACCUUAGGAGAAAACUGAUGGCCGCGAGGGAAACUGGGAGGAGUCUGCCGCGGCUACAAUGUCGCGUAGGACGAAUGCGAAAACUUCAGGAGAAGAGAGGGUUUCCCGCUGCACCAUGGGUCAGUAUUAAGGGUUUAAAAUGGGCCCUUAUUGGGCCUUUAUUACCAAAGCCUUUACCAUAAGAUUUUAUGUUCUCCUUUAUUUUUAAAAAAUCAUAUUUAAAAUAAUUACAAAUAUAAACCAAUAUUAAUGUUACAAAUCUAUUAUUAAUAAACAAAUAUUCACUCAUACAUAAAUUCUACCAAAAUAUAAAUCUAUCACUAAUACAUGCAAAACAUAAUAAAAAUAAAAAAUUUAGUGUGUUAUUACUCAAUAACUUCUUGAACAUGUUUUUAUUUUUCAAGGUUAGAUGGAAGGUUUAAACUUGAAUUUUAAUUCUUCACAUGUCACUUGGACAUAGCACUAGAAAUAAACUAAAAAUUAUUGACAUAGAUAUUGAUUUUAUUCAUUAAUUAGUGUUGACACAUUAUUGUGUUUACGUGUCUGAUUUUAUUGAUAAAGUAUUAUUAAUAAAAAAUGGUACAAACUUUCAUUAACGACUUAGUAUAAAGUUGAGAAAAUUGAAAAAUGGAAGGCCAAAUUGAUAAUUAACUACAAAAUUAAGGUUUAUAUUAUAUACUUUAAAUAAUAACAACAAUAACAAAGUUGAAUAAAAUCGUGCUCACUUCUGCACGCCUUUUUUCUUUUUUUAUUUUUUAUAUAUUGGUCAUAGAUUAAACGAAAAGGCAUUUCUAUAACUAGCCAUAUGUUAAAUUACAAUAUUAACAACUAGUGUCAUAAUCCAUAAUUUAAUCAAUAUAUAGUAUGUGUUUUCAUUAUACAUAAAAAGGCAUUAUCAGUUAAACUAUAAAAUAUGUUAAGUUACAAUAUCAAUCUCUAAUUUUGUGUUAAGUUACAAUAUCAAUCUCUAAUUUUGGUUAUUGGUAUAAUAAAUUACCAUUGAGAUCUCUAAAAUUUUGAAACAUUUAAUAUGUUUAUGAGCUUUUAAUUUCAUAACAGUAAUGUAUUUUUUUUCUAAUUACACCAAAUACGUAUGACUCGUUAGACACCAGUUUUAAACUUUUUUUUUCUUUUUACUUUUUGCUUUUCUGUAUAGACAUUCACUUUGGACAAUAUCCAUCCCUUUAGUUUCGCCCUCUCUCCCAUCAUCACUGCUCUUCCAUUACACAAACAAACAAACAUGAAAGCGAAAUUACAUAUCCAUCUUUAUUUUGAAAUUUGGGCAUCACAUUCCUCGGAGUAGGUGCAAGACGGACUCAACCCAACUCUAACAGAUGCUGGAAUUCCUUCGGCCCUUCAUCGAUUUUCCUCGCAAAAAAGUUGUCUUCAUUUGCAUUAGAGAGGCCUCCAGCUUAGACCGUGUACAAUUCUCACUCCAUCCUCAUCCAAUCCUUCUUAACUGCCACUUUGUUCCAAUAUUUUCCCAUUAUGUUUGGGUAUUGUUUUGUAAUUGAAUGUUAAGCAAUAUGAUUCAUGAUUUAGGGGAAAAUAUACAUUUUUGUCUCUCGCUUUAGAUUGAAAUACAUAUAUGAUUUAGUUAUGAUUUUUGGAAGAAAAAUAGGACACGGCAGAGAGUUUUAUUCAAUGUGACAUAAAAGGGUUCUCAUGGGCCGCUGAUGAACUAUAAAGCAUAUGUUUGGUAUGAAAGUCAGAAUUUAGGCGAGAAUUUGAGGGGUUUGGCCACUUAUUUGAUGUGUUCAUUGUAGAGCUUGAAUGGUCUAUUUUGUGCAAAUUUGACUUUUAUUCAAGUGGUGGCCGGUGGGUUGUUGAAGUUCUUAUAUAUUAUUUCUUUUGAAGUUCCAACUAAGUGGGCGAAUUAGAAAAUUCUGAAUAAAAUAUAAAUAUUAGUACACUUGAACUAUUCAUGUUGCCAAAUUUAGUGGUGAGAAUGGAUUAGUUGAUUCGAACAUUUAUUUACAUACAUAAUAAUGUUACUUACCAGAUUUAUACAUCUUUUUCGACGUGUUUGAGGAUUGUGAAAAUGGAAUAGAGCUAGAGAAUAACAAGGCAAACACAAUACUUGUUUGAAUGAAAAAAAUCAAUCAUUUGUGCAUCUAAAUCAUAUAUCUUUGCAUUCAUUUGCUAACAAUUGUUACGUAAAAUGCUAAUUCUUGAUCUCCUCAUGCGUACUGAAAGCUGAAUAAACUUUGUUGUAUGGCUAUUCUAAGAACUAAAAAAACAGAGUUAAAAGAUUUAAAGGUAGAUUGGUUUGAUUUUGGAAUUUCUAGAUCGUAAAACAUUCCGUCUACUACAAGCCCCCAGAUGAACAUCCUCAGUUGUAAAGUAAGUGAAAGUUUCACUUAAAUAAACAGAAUACAAUUAAAUCAAAAUAUCUGAGAAAUUAUUUUGAGAUUCUAAUGGGUGAUCCCAAUGUGAAACACUUCUAAAAGCUCUGCAUCUCAGUCGAAAACUAAAGUAUAGCCUUUUAAUAACUGAAAAGUUUGGGAAUUACUCCCUUCAAAACUAAAUUAUUGAAGGAAAAAAAAUGGCCGGAACAAAGUCCAAAACUCUGGAGACAUUUUCAUCAACAUCUGAAAAAUGAAUAAACCUUUAAGGUGAGGUUAACUACCUCAGCUUAUGCGCCACCAGAUCCGUAUUUCUUCCCGAAGACGAUCACCUGCAACUUAUCGUAACCGGCAAGCACACCAGCACCAGCAACGGCACGGAGAAUGUUAGCACCAGCACCCUUGAAGAGAGACUUGGCACCUUCGUUCUUCAAGAUCUGAGAGAAGGCAUCCAUUGAGCUCUUGUACUUCACUGCUUCACCAGACGUCAUCAUCAUUCUUCUACGAACAGUGUCAAUUGGGUAGGAUGCGAGACCGGCACCAUUGGUGAUGAGCCAACCAAGGGCAAAGCUAGCGAAGAAACUAUCCUGCACUCACAAAAAAAGUAGAAUAUAAUCAGAACAUAGCAAUUCAAACAUUGGCAUCCACUGAUGAACCCAAUUUAUAUAAUCCCCACAGCAAACAACUAACACCACUAGCAAACUGACCUGCAUCUUCCCGGUCAACAAAACAGGCUUUAGAGAAUCGUACAUUCCGAAGUAUAAACCUCGGUACACGAUGAUACCAACGCAAGAAAUGUUAAACCCACGAUAUAGACCAGCAACACCAUCAGACUGCAAUGUCUUCCUGUAGACAUCAACCAGUCCAUUGAAUUGCCUUUCUCCACCCUUCUUGGCAGCUUUGGCAUCAUUUGCCAAUCGGGUACGAGCAUAGUCAAGAGAGUAAACAAAAAGAAGAGAUGAAGCACCAGCUGCACCACCGGAUGCCAGGUUACCGGCAAACCAUUUCCAGUAACCAUCCCUGUCUUUCUUGAAGUUGAAAAGUCUCUUGAAGUAAUCCUUAAAAGCAAAGUUCAAUGCCUGGAGCAAAAAACCGUAAAACAAUUAGCUCAAGAAAGUUGAGAAAAUGGAGAGAUAAAAUUAGCUCAAGAAACAAUUAGCUCAACAGAAGAAAACCACUCACUUGAGUGGGGAAAUAACGGAUGACAUUGGCAGUGUUUCCUCUCCACAAUGAACCGAAACCCUCCUCUUGCAUUGUGCGCUUAAAACAAUCACCAAUACCCUUGUAUGGCUCAGACAAACGUCCGGAUUUAAUCAUCUCAUCCUGAUUUUGAAUUAAGAGUUUGACACGCUCAAUGGGGGCAGCAGCUGUCUUGGACACAGCAGCAGACACACCACCCAUAAGAAAGUCAAGCAUAAAGUUUCCUUUCUCAGCAGGGGCAGCAACAAAAAUGGGGGAAGCGGUUGAGGCAACCCUAGAAAGAUCAGUUGUAGCUACACAGGAUUGCACAGCAGGAUAUUGAAAAGCAACAUUGGAAUAAUUGGUGAUCGGUGCACGUCUCUGAUAGAGAGCAGGAUUCCUAAGGCCAUCAUCACUGGCACGAAAACCCGAAGCAACCCUCGACUGAAGAGAGAGCUGACCAGCAACCUUCUGAUAGAUAGUGGGAUGUUGAACCUGAUCAGCCAUGGCUACUUCUUC